rnacentral:lncRNA from 13 species
UGAAUGUAUGGACGUGACAUCUAUGUGUUGCCUCACAGACUUCAAUUACAUAGAAGUCUGUGGUCGCGUUCAAGUCAACGCAAAGUCACGUGAUGCGUGCUGCGCGCAUGCUCAACGGCCAUGUUGAUCGCGGCUACCGCGGAACGAGUGUGCGUCCGAAGCCGUGGACGCAUUCUUUUGCGAAUUUUAAACAUUGAAGAUUAGCAGCGCUCGCUAAUUUAUGCCGGGAUUAACGAAAAAGGUUACGAACUAUCGUUACACUUGUUCUCGCUUACGAUCGUAUUUCCGUUGUCACGCAUUUUCACUGGGAAUUCGCCAAUGCCGAAUUUUCGCCGCGAAGCGAGAGGGUCCAUUGAAAAACGGGGGCCACACGAGUAAAAACACGUCUCACAGAAACAACGGACUGAUCGUCGCGUUUCUUCCGGGAAUUAGCCGCCGUUAAAUGAAGAGGACAGAACCGGCCAAAGUCAAAGGGAUGAUUUAUAUGAAUCGACGAAACUCUACGAUUUGGUUCUUAAAAGCUACUGUGAAUAAUCGGGCUGUUAACAUAAUUAACAAAGUAAGUAAGAGAGAGAUGUAAUAUAUUAUUUAUUUAAGAAAAUUUUUUACACUCGAAUAGAUAUUCCAAGUUACA